UAGGGAAUUUUCCGCAAUGGGCGCAAGCCUGACGGAGCAAUGCCGCGUGAGGGAAGAAGGCCUUCGGGUCGUAAACCUCUUUCGUUUGGGAAGAAUGCGUUGAACAAGAAACGGUUCAGCGUUGACGGUACCAGAGGAAGAAGCCCCGGCUAAUUACGUGCCAGCAGCCGCGGUAAUACGUAAGGGGCAAGCGUUGUCCGGAAUCACUGGGCGUAAAGGGCGCGUAGGCGGUUCGUUAAGUCGGGAGUGAAAGCGCUGGGCCUAACCCAGCAACGGCUCUCGAGACUGACGAGCUAGAGGGUCCUAGGGGAUUGUGGAAUUCCAGGUGUAGCGGUGAAAUGCGUAGAUAUCUGGGAGAACACCCGUGGCGAAGGCGGCAAUCUGGGGGACACCUGACGCUGAGGCGCGAAAGCUAGGGGAGCGAACGG
rnacentral:rRNA from 1 species